rnacentral:rRNA from 1 species
AGCCGGCCGCGUAUUCGCCCUCUGGUCCAGACUUUGAUCCUGGCUCAGGAUGAACGCUAGCUACAGGCUUAACACAUGCAAGUCGAGGGGAAACGACAUCGAAAGCUUGCUUUUGAUGGGCGUCGACCGGCGCACGGGUGAGUAACGCGUAUCCAACCUGCCCAUCACUUGGGGAUAACCUUGCGAAAGUAAGACUAAUACCCAAUGAUAUCUCUAGAAGACAUCUGAAAGAGAUUAAAGAUUUAUCGGUGAUGGAUGGGGAUGCGUCUGAUUAGCUUGUUGGCGGGGUAACGGCCCACCAAGGCGACGAUCAGUAGGGGUUCUGAGAGGAAGGUCCCCCACAUUGGAACUGAGACACGGUCCAAACUCCUACGGGAGGCAGCAGUGAGGAAUAUUGGUCAAUGGACGAGAGUCUGAACCAGCCAAGUAGCGUGCAGGAUGACGGCCCUAUGGGUUGUAAACUGCUUUUAUAAGGGAAUAAAGUGAGUCUCGUGAGACUUUUUGCAUGUACCUUAUGAAUAAGGACCGGCUAAUUCCGUGCCAGCAGCCGCGGUAAUACGGAAGGUCCGGGCGUUAUCCGGAUUUAUUGGGUUUAAAGGGAGCGUAGGCCGGAGAUUAAGCGUGUUGUGAAAUGUAGACGCUCAACGUCUGCACUGCAGCGCGAACUGGUUUCCUUGAGUACGCACAAAGUGGGCGGAAUUCGUGGUGUAGCGGUGAAAUGCUUAGAUAUCACGAAGAACUCCGAUUGCGAAGGCAGCUCACUGGAGCGCAACUGACGCUGAAGCUCGAAAGUGCGGGUAUCGAACAGGAUUAGAUACCCUGGUAGUCCGCACGGUAAACGAUGGAUGCCCGCUGUUGGUCUGAAUAGGUCAGCGGCCAAGCGAAAGCAUUAAGCAUCC